rnacentral:lncRNA from 1 species
AAUAAGUAUUUCACCAAUUGUAGGGAAAGAUAAAACGUCUGUGACAUUCACAAGGUCUAACAAGGUCCUACGAUGUGAAAAAGGAUGGAAAAACGAUAGAAAUAAAACGAGGCACUGGCGGGGCUCGCAACGCGCCUUUGUUUUGACGGGCGCUCGAAAGUUCGAUUCGAGAAACUGCGUCGUCACCGGUUGCUAUAUAAACACGGCGUCGACGUACCGGCGGGCAUUCAGAAACAAACCUUGAACAAACUUCCAAGUUGUGCGCGUGAUCCUCGUAAAACGAUUGCCGACAACGUGCGAAAGUCAUAUGAAAAUGUGAAUUAUGCGACGACAGCCUAACGGCGGUUCGUCGUGCCGCAGAUGUAUUUUUUCCUGCAGCUCCAAUUCUGGGGUGUUGGACGUUUCAAAAUUCAACCUCAUAGAGGUAGGGCUACAUUGUUGAAAUGCUUGGCUUUGUUCCUGUGAUGACAGACAGAAGAUUCAAAAUGCAGCUGCUCGCUGGAACAACCGAAUAAUCAAAGUACGAUGCAGUAGUCACCGCUCGGCAACAUCUGUGGAUGUGGGUGUGACGAAUUUGAGCUCUCUAGAUAGAUUGCAAUAGGAAGUUAUUGUGAGGACUCCAUCGGAGGACAGACUCGAGGUGACUUCUGAGACUUUGUGGGUUGACGGCAGGAGAUAUCGUCUUACAAAGUG